AGGACGAACGCUGGCGGCGUGCUUCAUACAUGCAAGUCGAACGAGAAUCUCACUUCGGUGAGAGGAAAGUGGCGGACGGGUGAGUAAUGUGUAGAGAAUCUGCCCUAGAGUGAGGGACAACAGAGGGAAACUUCUGCUAAUACCUCAUAUGCGCGUAGCUGAGAUGCUAUUCGUGAAAAACUCCGGUGCUCUGGGAUGAGUCUGCAUCUGAUUAGCUAGUUGGGGGUGUAAUGGACCACCAAGGCGACGAUCAGUAGCUGGUUUGAGAGGAUGAUCAGCCACAAUGGGACUGAGACACGGCCCAUACUCCUACGGGAGGCAGCAGUAGGGAAUUUUGCGCAAUGGGGGGAAAAACCCCUGACGCAGCAACGCCGCGUGAACGAAAAAGCCCUUCGGGGUGUAAAGUUCUGUCAGUGGGGACGAAACUUGACGGUACCCACAGAGGAAGCAUCGGCUAACUCCGUGCCAGCCGCCGC
rnacentral:rRNA from 1 species